rnacentral:piRNA from 1 species
UUGCCGAGUAACUGUCCAACUUC